UUAGGUCACUCUGAAUUUGCUGAAUUUCUUCUCUCCCAUAAGCCUGACUUUGCGAACCGGUUUGAUUCACAAGGUCGUUCUGCUCUUCAUUUGGCAUCUGCAAACGGAUACGCGAAUAUCGUUAAACUAUUGUUGGCACAGAAUGAGACUAUGUGCAGUGUUCCUGAUGUGGACGAAAGGACCCCUCUCCAUUUGGCUGUGAUGAAUGGCCAAUACGAUUGCGUUGAGGAGUUUAUAAAAGCCAACUCUAAGUCUAAUGAUCAAGGACUUGAUGCAGUAUUGCACAUGUGUGUUAUGUGUAAUCGUUUGGAUGUUCUGAUUCUUGUUUUAGGCAAGAAUCCCAUUGAUUUGUCGGAUGUCAAAGAUGAGGAUGGUAAUACUAUUCUACAUUAUGCUGCAGGUUUACGACGUAUACAGGUAAAAUCUGUGUUUAGCUGAACAAUUCUUUUUCGUGCUAAUAGGGUGUUAGGCCUCGAAUGUCACUGUUUAGCAAGAAAAAAGUCUCUAUUGUAACUUUUUGAAAAAACAACCCAAAAUAUCACUUCAAACCGCAACUUCAUGUAGUGUUCAAUAUAUUAAAACACAACUUUAAGUUGUGGUUUCAGUUGAAAACGCAACUUGAUGAAGUUGUGAUUUUCAGCUGAAAACACAACUUGAAGUUGUGGUUCCCUCAAAAAAUUAAAACACAACACAAUACGAAGUUGUGUUUUGAAGUGACAUCUGAGGCUAUUUUUCUAAAAAUUGACAUUGAGACCCAUUUGUUUUAAAAAUAGUAACUUUUGCCGCCUUUUUCCUAAUUAUUUGAUGUAAUAAAUUGAAUUUAUGUACUUUAUCCCCCACAGAUAGUUAAGUACCUGGUCACAACUAGAAGUGAAGCCGAGGUGAACGUAAAGAAUAACAAAGGUCACACGGCUUUGGACACAAUAGAGGAGAUGCUUAAAGAUGUAAAAGCCAUGGAAAUUAAGCAACUUCUUGUCUCAGUUAGUACUAAAAAGACCCAAGAAGCACCAGCAGGACCUGGCAUCUUUAACAAGCUGUUACAUUCGGCCAAAAAAAUAAAAAAAUUCGCCAUCUUUCAGGACAAAAUGGAAACGAAAGACGAGACAUUACUGGUAGCAGCAUCUGUGAUAGCCGCAAUGGCCUACACAUCGGCUAUUAGCCCUCCCGGUGGCGUUGCUUCAAUGGAUGCCGCAAGUUAUUCAGUCAGUGACCCGUGGUACUUUAGUUAUUUUCUUGCACCCGGAAGCUCCCUUCUCGCCUACUUCUUCGCGCCACUGAGCAAUACCUUUUGGGUAUUUAACACCAUCUCGUUUAUAGCUGCACUAAGUGUAAUCUUUAUAUAUGUCACUGGUGCGAGCCUGAAGCAGAAGCUCAUCGUUUGGUCUAUUCGCGGCGCGAUGUGGAUAACUCUUUCGGCCAUGAUUUUUGCCUAUGAGGCUGCAGUUAGAGCCACCACUCCGAAAUAUCAUCAGAAUAACAGAACACUUUAUACAAUUAGAGUUGGACUGUAUUCAUGGUUGGCCUUGAUGGUCAUCGCGGUACUGGUGGUUGUUUUUCAUGUUUGCCGCUACAUAGUGAAGACAAUUUCUACGAUAUUGAGUGACAGGAACAAGAAAAUGGACGCCUCCACUUUCAGAAACUCGAUGCAAAAAUCAAUAUCUCGUAAGGAUUAUGACAAACUCUAGCUGCACUUCUUCAGUUUAUUUACCUUGCGUUGUUUGUACUGUAUUUACGUUGUUCUCUUUGUUUAAAAAUGUAAUAUCGUGUUUUGUAUUUCCAUUCUCCAAGUUCCAUGUACAGUAGGAUGAGGGGUGUAUUUACUUGGAUUUCUUCGCAUCUGCAAAUCUUCAAAAGGCCUAUUAAAGGAUAUCAUGGCAUGUUUAGGAUUUUCUUCAAAUUUUCAAAAGGCAUAUUACAAGACACUAGCUCCAUAAUCAACACAUCUAAGUAAAUCGAAUUAACCGAGCGAUAAGACGGUGCGGGAACUUCCCCACCCACUAGAUUCCCUCUCUUCUGACUACUACCAACUGACUUCAACCUAACUUUGAAACAAAUAACUGAAAUGACAUGUAAAAAUAUAUAAAUCAGCAAAAUGUAAAAAUUGCAAAAUUUAAGUCCAGAACAAGAGAUGUAUUUAUUUUAAAUUAAAUAGACCGAAUUAAGUAUAAUUCUUAUAGUUAGGUGAUUGAACCUCAUAUUCCUUUAUUCCUUUUUCGUGAGAGUGCAUCGUACUAAUAACCAAAAUAAUUAAUAAAUUCAUACCAAACAUGGCUUCCAAAAAAAAAAUUCAUACCAAACAUAUUAUUGUCCGUAUUCACGAUUUUUUUAUGUUCAUUGGUGUUGACAAUGAAAAGAAUAUAGAAGCCUGAAUCUAAAUUAUACAUUUUAAAACCCUAUGCAUGUAGUAAUAUACUAUUGGGAGGUUUUGCAAUAUUGUAUGCAUUUUGUGUGUAUAUAUAUAUGAAUUUUUAAAAAAUUAAUCUCAAUCAUUUUUAUACAUUUCAUUACUCCAUAUGAAUUUUAAUAUUUUAAUAUAUAUAAAAGUAAGGGGACGCAGAGACAGAGUAAUUAUCUAAACAAUGUGGGUGUUUGACAAAGGGGCUUCUUGGCUUUUUUGACAUAGAAGUCGACUUCUGCUUAAAUCGAGGUGUUUGGUUGAUUAUGAGAAGCACUUAUAUUGAAGUUUAAAAGCUCCAAAAAAGAAGUUAGGAAACCUAGCUUAUUUUGGGGAUUUAGCUUCUUCUAUCACUUAUAAUCGAUAUAUAUUCAAACACUUUUAAUAACUUAUAAGUCCAAACCAACUUUUCAUUAAUAAUCUAUUUCUUUAUUUUAAAUAAUAAAUCAUUUAUUUUAAGCGCAGCCAAACGGUCCCAAUAUAAAUGCAAGGGUUAGUGACGCUAUUGUAGUGACAUCACUCCACACGGUACCAGUUGACUUACUUUCUGUGCCACUUCUUCAUACCUGCCAGGCACGUUAGUUUUCCGUAUUCCUCGUUACACCAGUUGACAUUACGAAAACGUAAUUAAGCAAAGACAACUGGAAGUUACUUUUGAGUUUUGAUCGGAGGAGUAAUAUUUAUUUUGGAAAAAUGCUAAGAGCAAGUCCAACAAUGUCCUAGCUAUUGCCUUAUAAAUAUAAUAAAAAAUAGUGUCCUAAUGAUUUAGAACAUCAUUUUAAUAUACCAACUCCAACAAUAUGUCUUAUUCUUGUGCCUUAUUAUUAAAAUAAUAAUAUAUUUGAACUAUUGUUGGAGGGAAAUGAAAAAGAGAGAGGAGAGAGAUGUGUUGAAAUGAGAGAAAGCUAAUUUUUUAUAAGAGAGAGGAGAGAGAUGUGUUGAAAUGAGAGAAAGCUAAUUUUUUAUUGGUAGAAAUGAUUUAGGGCAUGCAUACUUGUACCUCAAAAAUAAGGCAUUUGAGAGAUGUCCUAGUGUUUUAAGGCACCACUAGAACAUUGUUGGAGCACUCAUUUGCUUCAAAUGCCUUAAAUUUUGAUUUAGGACACAAUUUGAGGCACUCUUGGACUUGCUCGUACUUCAAAAAUUGUCCUAAUUUUUUUUUUCAAAUGAUGUGUCGAAAUUUGAUUGCUUGUAUUCAUUUCAAUAACGAUGAGACUCCCUUCCAUAUAUAUCAAUUAUCUAAUCACAAUCUUUCAUUUGACUGUCAUAUCAUUGGGUGAAGAAUUUAAAAAUAAAUAAAUUUAGAGCACGUGGCAUUACCUUCUUAAUAGUUUCUCUGGCAACUUGUCCGUAUUCCACGAAUCUUGCAUUACUGCAGUUGACUUAAACCUAAAAAACAAAAAUAAAUCUAUUUUAUUCAUUUUAAGACCCUUUAAAUGUUCUUCCAGAGCACGAUAGGAAUGCAUCAGAAAUAUUAUUGGCUCUCGAUCAUAGCCAGCUGAACUCGUCUUCAUACUUGGAUCAGGUAACAAUCCGAUAAUCUUAAACUUGGAUUCUUAAUACCCUAAUCCUGUAUAUCUGCAUUGCCAAAACCCUAGUCACAGCGUUACUAGUAAAAUUUAUCUUCAAUUUAAUAUAUGCAGAUAAAUACAAGCAAUGGAUACCGAAGUGGAGAAGAAGCUGUACAAUGCAUGUGUGAAAGGAGACGUAAGGAUGCUGGAAGCACUCAUACGAGAAGAUGAACUCACUCUUGCUCGAGUUUCGAUAUCUUCUUGCUUUAACCAAACACCCUUGCAUCUUGCUUCCAUGUUAGGUCACUUUGAAUUUGCUGAAGUUCUUCUCUCUCAUAAGUCUGACUUUGCAAACAGAUUAGAUUCACAAGGUCGUUCUGCUCUUCAUUUGGCAUCUGCCAACGGAUACGCGAAUAUUGUUAAACUGUUGUUGGUACACAAUGAGAAAAUGUGCAGUGUUCCUGAUGAGGACGAAAGGACCCCUCUCCAUUUGGCUGUGAUGAAUGGCCAAUAUGAUUGUGUUGA
rnacentral:lncRNA from 1 species